GUGCUUUCAAAAUACUACUCAAAAAGGCUACUAGGAGGAAGCCCAGUGGUCAACACAAAAGCACACAGGUAAUCAGGCAAUUAAUCACCACUGUAAGAGGAAUCAAGUCAUGAACAAACAAAAGAGGAGUUGGGUUUCCUAUGGGAAACCCCAAGAAUGCCAGGAGGAAGAGCAUUUUUGGAACAUUCUCAUCAGAACUCUUGGAAAGAUUCAUACAUCAAAAGCAAGUUGCUAUUGAAAAGCAAAAUCAGAAAAUUAGAAUUCCAAGAAGUGAAAUCUUGACAAUUUAAUUAUCAAAAUUAAUUUCAAAAUUCCGGGAAGUCUAAUAAAUAGAAUAGAUGAAGCAAGGACUGAAUUAGUGCUGGGGAAGAGAAAGUUUGGAGGAUAAAAAAAAAAAAGCAAUCUUCCAAAAGGCAGAGACAGGAAGUAAAGAGAGGAAAAAGGUGAGGAAAGACUGAGAAAAGGCCUGGACAGUUCACCUUCCCACACGAUGCUGGAAAGAAUACAGAAAGAGGACAUAACUUUUUUUUAACCUUAAUUUAUUUGUGUAUUUUUAUGUGGUGCUGAGGAUCGAACCCAAGGCCUCCGCACAUGCUAGGCGAGUGCUCUACCCUUGAGCCAUAAUCCUAGCCUGGACAUAACGUUUUACCAAACAGAGGAAUGAAAGUCUUGAGAUUGACAGGGCUCACACAGAGACAUACUGAUGAGAUCUGUAAGGAUAAAAAGAAUAUCCUGACACAGAAGAUUGUUUGUGAAGAGACCCAAGUCAAAUUUAAUCAGACUGACCUCAGCAGCACUGGAUGUUACAAGACAAUGGAUAAGCUGGGGUGUAGCUCGGUGGUACAUGCAUGAGGCUCUGAGUUCAAUCUCAUGAAGAAAGGAAGGAAG
rnacentral:lncRNA from 1 species